rnacentral:rRNA from 1 species
AUUGAACGCUGGCGGCAGGCCUAACACAUGCAAGUCGAGCGGAUGACGGGAGCUUGCUCCUUGAUUCAGCGGCGGACGGGUGAGUAAUGCCUAGGAAUCUGCCUGGUAGUGGGGGACAACGUUUCGAAAGGAACGCUAAUACCGCAUACGUCCUACGGGAGAAAGCAGGGGACCUUCGGGCCUUGCGCUAUCAGAUGAGCCUAGGUCGGAUUAGCUUGUUGGUGAGGUAAUGGCUCACCAAGGCGCCGAUCCGUAACUGGUCUGAGAGGAUGAUCAGUCACACUGGAACUGAGACACGGUCCAGACUCCUACGGGAGGCAGCAGUGGGGAAUAUUGGACAAUGGGCGAAAGCCUGAUCCAGCCAUGCCGCGUGUGUGAAGAAGGUCUUCGGAUUGUAAAGCACUUUAAGUUGGGAGGAAGGGUUGUAGAUUAAUACUCUGCAAUUUUGACGUUACCGACAGAAUAAGCACCGGCUAACUCUGUGCCAGCCGCCGCUGUAA